rnacentral:lncRNA from 10 species
AGACAUUUGGUUAAAAACACAGACUUUUGGGUCCCACCAAACCUGCUACAGUGAUUCUCCAGGAAAGAGAGCUAGAAAUUGAUAUUUGAAAAUGAUUCUUAUGAUCAGGAAGAUUUGGGCCUCUUUAUAGAGUUUCUUCAGGGGGAUAAAAUUUAGCAGUUACUUUUUAGCACUGACUGAAGAAAGAAUGUCUUGGCUUAAGAACUUGUUUUCUGAACUAUUCAACAAAUCCUCCUUGAGCAAUGGCUUAGGAACAAGGGGCCAUAGAGACAAAUUCCUUACCAGCAUAGAGCAUCCAUCCUUCAGUGGACUGAAUGGUAGAGAAGCAAAGUCUAGGUGAUAUUGUUUGAACUCCUGAGUCCAACUUUGCCAGAACCCAUUUCUUCCCAGUCAAAUGAGUAAAUAAUUUCCUUCUUUACUUAAAUUUAAGUUUGAUUUCUAAUCAUUGAUCUCUGAGAGAGUCUCAACUAACACACUACUUUUUAAGGCCACUAGACUAAUUUCCUUCCUAUGACUAUACUUACAAAGCAACUUCUAAUCAUAAUGUGGCUUCACAUGAAGCUCUGUCCCUAGGCAAACAAUAUAGAGUCCAGUGAGAAUGAGAAUAUGGUGCCUUUUGUAGCUGCAGAUAGCAUUAUAAAUGAAUUGCAGUCUGGCUUCAUACAUCAGUUUCUUGUGAGUUUGGUUCCCAUGAGUCAGUGCCCAGAUUUUAGUACCUCUGGGUAUACUUAGUAACUGGAAUAUCCAAACCAGCUCCUAGAAGGAAGUGAUGCUACACCCCACACCCCACUGUUUUCAGGCAGGACUUUUUUUAAUACCAAAAUUGUGAAACCCAUCUGGUCUGAAGGUAUCCUUCCAACAUAUGCAAUAGAAAGCUAGUCCUUUCUUUUUUUCCUCUUAUUUAUAACUUCAUUUGUUUAUAUCAGGCUUAUCUUUUCUUGUUCCUUUUCCUCUAUCUCCUAUGACCUAUACAAUAUCUACAAUGUUUCAUUUUCGCGGUCUCUUUCCUAAAUCCUUAUUUCUUUGUAAGAUUUCACUUUAGGUUUCUUCCACAGGUCCCAAGUGCUCACACAAAAUGGUGCAUUGAGUCCCUUAUCUUCCCCUUUAGUGCUGUAUUAGUUUGUUCUCAUGCUGCUAAUAAAGACAUAGUCAAGACUGGGUAAUGUAUAAAGGAAAGACGUUUAAUUGACUCACAGUUCUACAUGGCCAGGGAGGCCUUACAAUCAUGGUGGAAGGCAAGGAGGAGCAAAUCCACGUCUUACAUGGCAGCAGGCAAGAGAGAAUGAGAGCCAAAGAAAGGGGAAACCCCUUAUAAAAUCAUCAGAUCUCAUGAGACUUAUUCACUAACACGAGAACAGUAUGAGGGAAACCGCACCCAAGAUUCAAUUAUCUCCCACCAGUCCCUCCCACAACACAUGGGAAUUAUGGGAGCUACAAUUCAAGAUGAGAUUUGGGUGGGGACACAGCCAAGCCGUAUCAAUUGCACUUUUUUCUACAUACGACUUGCUGAACUAAUACCAUUUCUUUCCAAAAUUCUCUGUUUUGCCAAAUUAAUUGCUGUCAUUGACAACCCAUAGUCUGAACACACUUAUCUUGGUGUUUAUUCCUGAAUUCAUGCACUCAACAGCCUGCCUGCUUCUCUCCAGCUUUGCAUUCAUUACAUGGAACAACCACAGGUGUAGCACUCACAUUCCAUAAUGGCUGGAACAUAAACAGGUUCAAACUUUUUGGAGGGCAAACACAAUGUGUAUGAAAAGCCUUAACCCAAAAAUAGCACAUCUAGGGAUUUGUCCUAAAAGAGCAGUAAGAAAGGUAUGCAAAGCUGUCCAGUCAAAGAUGCUUGCAAUGUCAUGUUGGCGAAUUGCAAAUAAUCUCAAGGUCCAACUAUAGAGGAUUAAUUUUUAAACUUAUAGCACAGUAAAUAUCUAUAAUAAUGCAAAGUCCUAAAACGCCAUUGGUGAUUGAACUCCUGUCCACAAUCUUUCUUUCUUGUUUUUUUGUUUGUUUGUUGUUGUUGUUGUUUGUUUUGUUUUUUUUCUUUUUGUUUUUGAGACAGAGUCUCACUCUGUUGCCCAGGCUGGAAUACAGUGGCAUGAUCUCUGCUCACUGCAAGCUCCGCCUCCUGGGUUCACACCAUUCUCCUGCCUCAGCCUCCGAGUAGCUUGGACUACAAGCACCCACCACCACGCCCGGCUAAUUUUUUUUUUUUUGUAUUUUUAGUAGAGACGGGGUUUCACUGUGUUAGCCAGGAAGGUCUCAAUCUCCUGACCUCGUGAUCCGCCCACCUCGGCCUCCCAAAGUGCUGGGAUUACAGGCGUGAGCCACUGCGCCCGGCCCGUUUUUGUUUUUGAGACAGUCUCUCUCUGUCACCCAGGCUGGAGUGCAGUGGUGCAAUCUUGGCUCACUGCAACCUCCCUGCCUCCUGGAUUCAAGCUAUUCUCCUGCCUCAGCCUCCCGAGUAACUAGAAUUACAGGCAUGCACCACCACACCCAACUAAUUUUUUGUAUUUGCAGUAGAGACGGGGUUUCUCCAUGUUGGCCAGAAUGGUCUUGAACUCCAGACCUCCAGUGAUUUGCCUGCCUCGGCCUUCCAAAGUGCUGGGAUUACAUGCGUGAGCCACCACGCCCGCCUCCUGUCCACAAUCUAACUGUCAAACAAAGAUGGGCUAAUUAAACGGAUGCCAACUAAUCGGAAAACUUCUGGAAUUGCCGUCCCUGGAAAUCCUAGCAAGACACAGGACCCAGAAUCCUCCCCAUUAAUAUUGACGCUGUAGUGACCAAUCACCAUUAAGAGGUGCCAGAAAGGAACUGGAACUGGCAAGUAGUCAGGUCUUUCAGCGGCACCCCCAGAAAUCCUGUCCUAUAAAUGGUACUUCACUCUAAUGCAAACUUUGCUAAAUGUUUUAACCUUGUUGUGUAACGCGGGGGUAAAAAGAGUACUUGAUAGGGUUAACACAUAUAAUGCAUUUAGAAGAGCAAUUCGCAGGUGGUUAACAUCUGUAACAUUUGCUAUUAUUAUUAUUGGUAGUAAAAAUUAUCUAGCAUCUGUAAACACUUGCUAUUAUUAUUGAUACUAAAAGUUAUCCAUGAGCUUUUUUUCUUCUUCUUCUUACUAUGCAAAGUUGGGAUUCUGAAGUGAACAGCUGCACGGUGUUAUCAUCUUUCUACACAUUCACACAUAACAAUCUUAAUGAUAUAUCACAAUGAAUAAUUUGACGUUAUUUAGCUCUCCUUACUCUGAGCUGUGGACUGCAUCAAACCCAACUCGAAUAGCGUUCCUGCUCUUCAAAUUUCGGCGGUGAAGCCAUUCAUAAAUAAAAAACAGCUUCUUGUUUUGUAUGAAUCAAUUCACAAGAUAAAUAUUUAAAUAAAAUGUGGCUUCAAUUGUGCUCUCUGAUGAUAAUUGCUGGCUCACACUCUGUUUCUAUAUCAAUGUGUUUUCUUUUAUUUUUUCCCCCAAGCUGACUAAUGAACAGAGCUGUCAGAAGCCCAUUGCUCAUGAUCUAGCGAGCAACACAUUAGCAGUUUCACAUAAAUAUAAAAACCACAUUCACUGCAGCUAGGGAAAUAUACACGUAGCACACAAAAACUCCAAUAUACUCCAGUGCUAUCAACAAAUAAAGAAUCCUGGGUGAUAAAUAUGAUUAGCUAAGUAACUGACACUCUCUUAACACAGGAAACAGCCCUGCAUCACCCCAGCUGUCAAUAAAUAAAAGAUAAUUCAAAGAACAAACUCCUUUGUGUAUAGAGCAUCCUCUACUUUGAAGAGCCCACAAAAUUCUAUAUCUGACAUUGUAAAGAAAAAAAGGCAUACUUAUGUAAUUUGGGGAUAUUUACAAUCCCUAUGCUGCACAAAAUCACAGGCUCUUAAAUUUAUACUCCACUCAAAGUGGGGAGAAUCCAGGAUGCUCUCUACCUUUAAGACUCAAAAUUGUUUUAAAUGUCAUUUCAUUCAUAUCCUUCAUCUCUCCAUGGGCUGUUCUGUUCCAAUUUUACAGUUUAUUCAUUUCAUAAAAAUGUAUCAAGUCAUUACCAUGCGACUAGCACCGCUGGGGAAGAUGGAGUCCAGGAAGAAAACUUCCAGGCUCCUACAGUCAUCAAAAGAGCCAGAAAUGAGAGGUCACUGGCUCCCAAACCGCUGCACCCGCUAGAAGCACUGUAAACUCUCAAACAGCAGUUCUCUAAGAUAAAUAUUUA